GCCUGGGUGGCUCAGUUGGUUAAGCGUCCGACUUCGGCUCAGGUCAUGAUCUCGUGGUUUGUGAGUUCGAGCCCCACAUCAGGCU
rnacentral:tRNA from 1 species